rnacentral:rRNA from 1 species
UUGAUCAUGGCUCAGAAUCAACGCUGGCGGCGUGCCUCGGACAUGCAAGUCGAACGCGAAAGUCCCCUUCGGGGGGCGAGUAGAGUGGCGCACGGGUGAGUAACACGUAGGUAAUCUACCUUCGGAUGGGGAAUAACAACCGGAAACGGUUGCUAAUACCGCAUAAUGCAGCGGCACCUAAUGGUGACAGUUGUUAAAGCGGGGGAUCGUAAGACCUCGCGUCUGAAGAGGAGCCUGCGGCAGAUUAGCUAGUUGGUAAGGUAAUGGCUUACCAAGGCGAUGAUCUGUAGCCGGCCUGAGAGGGCGGUCGGCCACACUGACACUGACAUACGGGUCAGACUCCUACGGGAGGCAGCAGUCGGGAAUUUUGGGCAAUGGGCGAAAGCCUGACCCAGCAACGCCGCGUGAAGGAUGAAAUCCUUCGGGAUGUAAACUUCGCAAGAACGGGAAGAAUAAGUAAGAGCUAACAUCUCUUACGAUGACGGUACUGUUUGUAAGCUCCGGCUAACUCCGUGCCAGCAGCCGCGGUAAUACGGGGGGAGCAAGCGUUGUUCGGAUUUACUGGGCGUAAAGGGCGCGUAGGCGGCCACCGCAAGUCAGUUGUGAAAUCUCUGGGCUUAACCCAGAAAGGUCAACUGAUACUGCGGGGCUAGAGUGCAGAAGGGGCAACUGGAAUUCUCGGUGUAGCGGUGAAAUGCAUAGAUAUCGAGAGGAACACCUGCGGCGAAUGCGGGUUGCUGGGCU